AUUCAAAUGAAUUGACGGGGGCCCGCACAAGCGGUGGAGCAUGUGGUUUAAUUCGAUGCAACGCGAAGAACCUUACCUACUCUUGACAUCCAGAGAACUUAGCAGAGAUGCUUUGGUGCCUUCGGGAACUCUGAGACAGGUGCUGCAUGGCUGUCGUCAGCUCGUGUUGUGAAAUGUUGGGUUAAGUCCCGCAACGAGCGCAACCCUUAUCCUUUGUUGCCAGCGGUCCGGCCGGGAACUCAAAGGAGACUGCCAGUGAUAAACUGGAGGAAGGUGGGGAUGACGUCAAGUCAUCAUGGCCCUUACGAGUAGGGCUACACACGUGCUACAAUGGCGCAUACAAAGAGAAGCGACCUCGCGAGAGCAAGCGGACCUCAUAAAGUGCGUCGUAGUCCGGAUUGGAGUCUGCAACUCGACUCCAUGAAGUCGGAAUCGCUAGUAAUCGUAGAUCAGAAUGCUACGGUGAAUACGUUCCCGGGCCUGGG
rnacentral:rRNA from 1 species